GAGUGGAAGAAAACGAAAUAACAAAGUUUAGUCCAUUGAUAAAAAGUUAGUCUUCUCUUACGAGGAUAUGAAAUUGCUAUUCGCUUCUGUCAAUAAUCAAAUAUCGUAGGAGCUGUCUUUCCGAACGAUAUGCCGAAGAGGAGUGUUGGUAGGGUGUUUUAUAUAUGGUCGUUUUUUCUUCAGUGUCUUCAAAAUCUUCCUUUAGUCAGACUAAAAUGGGUACUUUAUGGAGUUCGUACGUUACACAUCCCGAUAUAACGCCAGAGGCUGAAACUGCGCCGACUUUUGAUCCAUUGUAUGGAUUUCAAAACGGUCGAAAAGCGAGAGUUAUGAUUGCCACGGAUGCAGAAAUGAAGGCAGCCAGAAUACCGAAGAGAUUCAGAGAUUAUUGCGCUCAUAAAUUCUUAGAAUUGGAAGACUGCAAAAAAUAUCAUUUUCCCAUGAUGAACAAGUGCGAUCAUCAGAAUCACGCUUAUCAACAAUGCCAAUACGAGGAUUAUGUUCUGCGGAUGAAGGAAUUUGAAAGGGAACGCAGGCUUUCGGAAAGACAGAAGAGGAAACAGCAAGCUGCGGCUGCUUGAAGGAGUUGUCUCGUAGAUGUAUAGGAAUGUUGAAAUUUAUUGCUCGCAAUUUAGAAUUCGCAAUCAUGGACGACUUUCGUGGCGGUUAUAAAAUAAAGAGGAUACGACUGGAAAGAAAUGAUAUUGUAGUUGGCGUUACAAAAGGAGAAAAUACAUAUUUACAAAACAUUCUGCUCGUGGACGUAACAAUCCUAUCGUCUAGAUCCUAAUCUAGAUCGUGGUUCUCUCUUCGUGCUUCGCGAAUAGGCUGUCGAGAUCGUCGUCGAGUAGCGACAAGGCUCGUUCGCUCAUUUCUUUCCAAAAUUGUUAGGGUCGGUUACAACAGUUUGGAACAAUUGCUUCCGACGCGAUCGCUUCGCGCUCGUCCAAUUUUGAUCGAACGCGUCGAGUAAUUCGUACCGCGUGUAUUACUGCCUCGUGACGCUUUCGUAGGAACAAAGCGAAGGGAUAAAAGACCUUUAUUAUACAAAGCUGCAUACGUGGAAAGAUUGGCUCGGCCGUUCACUUUGGA